rnacentral:rRNA from 1 species
GAAAGGCCAAUCAAACCGGGAGAUAGCUGGUUCUCCCCGAAAGCUAUUUAGGUAGCGCCUCGUGAAUUCAUCUCCGGGGGUAGAGCACUGUUUCGGCUAGGGGGCCAUCCCGGCUUACCAACCCGAUGCAAACUGCGAAUACCGGAGAAUGUUAUCACGGGAGACACACGGCGGGUGCUAACGUCCGUCGUGAAGAGGGAAACAACCCAGACCGCCAGCUAAGGUCCCAAAGUCAUGGUUAAGUGGGAAACGAUGUGGGAAGGCCCAGACAGCCAGGAUGUUGGCUUAGAAGCAGCCAUCAUUUAAAGAAAGCGUAAUAGCUCACUGGUCGAGUCGGCCUGCGCGGAAGAUGUAACGGGGCUAAACCAUGCACCGAAGCUGCGGCAGCGAACGUAUCACCCAAGACAACUUUACGGAGUUGACGAUUGACGGAGCGAAGCGACGUCAAAGCGUUCAUUAAAGUCGAGUUGGCUUAGGGAUACGUUCGUUGGGUAGGGGAGCGUUCUGUAAGCCUGUGAAGGUGUGUCGUGAGGCAUGCUGGAGGUAUCAGAAGUGCGAAUGCUGACAUAAGUAACGAUAAAGCGGGUGAAAAGCCCGCUCGCCGGAAGACCAAGGGUUCCUGUCCAACGUUAAUCGGGGCAGGGUGAGUCGACCCCUAAGGCGAGGCCGAAAGGCGUAGUCGAUGGGAAACGGGUUAAUAUUCCCGUACUUGGUGUUACUGCGAAGGGGGGACGGAGAAGGCUAUGUUGGCCGGGCGACGGUUGUCCCGGUUUAAGCGUGUAGGUGUGUGUUCCAGGUAAAUCCGGUUCACUUUAACACUGAGGCGUGACGACGAGGCACUACGGUGCUGAAGCAACAAAUGCCCUGCUUCCAGGAAAAGCCUCUAAGCAUCAGGUAACAC